CCUGCCCCUGACUUUGGGAUAAGCCCGGGAAACUGGGGCUAAUACCGGAUAUGACUUUGUACCGCAUGUUUUGUGGUUGAAAGAUUUAUCGGUGAGGGAUGGACUCGCGGCCUAUCAGCUUGUUGGUGAGGUAAUGGCUCACCAAGGCGACGACGGGUAGCCGGCCUGAGAGGGUGACCGGCCACACUGGGACUGAGACACGGCCCAGACUCCUACGGGAGGCAGCAGUGGGGAAUAUUGCACAAUGGGCGGAAGCCUGAUGCAGCGACGCCGCGUGAGGGAUGACGGCCUUCGGGUUGUAAACCUCUUUCAGUAGGGAAGAAGCGAAAGUGACGGUACCUGCAGAAGAAGCGCCGGCUAACUACGUGCCAGCAGCCGCGGUAAUACGUAGGGCGCAAGCGUUAUCCGGAUUUAUUGGGCGUAAAGAGCUCGUAGGCGGUUUGUCGCGUCUGCCGUGAAAGUCCGAGGCUCAACCUCGGAUCUGCGGUGGGUACGGGCAGACUAGAGUGAUGUAGGGGAGACUGGAAUUCCUGGUGUAGCGGUGAAAUGCGCAGAUAUCAGGAGGAAC
rnacentral:rRNA from 1 species